rnacentral:rRNA from 1 species
UACGAAGGGGGCUAGCGUUGCUCGGAAUUACUGGGCGUAAAGCGCACGUAGGCGGUUUCUUAAGUCGGGGGUGAAAUCCUGGAGCUCAACUCCAGAACUGCCUUCGAUACUGGGAAACUUGAGUCCGGGAGAGGUGAGUGGAACGUGCGAGUGUAGAGGUGAAAUUCGUAGAUAUUCGCAAGAACACCAGUGGCGAAGGCGGCUCACUGGCCCGGUACUGACGCUGAGGUGCGAAAGCGUGGGGGAGCAAACAGGG